GCUCCGGGCUCCGAGCCGUCAGCCCAGAGCCCGAUGCGGGGCUCGAACCCACGGACCGUGAGAUCACGACCUGAGCCGAAGUCGGACGCUUAACCACUGAGCCACCCAGGUGCCCCUGUUUUAGCAUUUCUACUCACAGUUUCUAAUCUUAAAGAUGUUCAGAGACAGAACUUAUUAUUGUGCCCACAUUACAACCGGGAGGCCAAGGCACAAGAGAGGUCCCUUGUCACAUAGGCCAGUUGCAGAGCCCAGGUUAGGAGGUGGGUCUGUGGAACCCACACCUGGUGAGCCGCUCCUGGAUGAACCAACUUGCCUGAUCUCACCAGAGAUGUCGAGGCUCUCCCCUUGGCUUCUGGGGGGACAAUCAGGGUGUUGGGGCAUGGGGGGGGGAGGGAGCUGGACGAGGCUCCUGCCACUUGAUGCAGACCCUGAACUUGUAAGAAGGUGCCAUCAGCCACCUGUGUUUGGAGAGAAUGUGAGACCUGACUGCUGGCCCCAAGCCCUGUGGGGGAGAGCACCCCCAGUGGGGCUGGGGUGCAGGCCAGGGUCUGUCUGUUUGCCCUACAGCUUAGGUAAGCCCUUUUCCAGGAACCGAGGCCUCUACAGGUCACCUGUUUGCCCUUUGUUGAUCUGCAAAGCCUCUGAUGAGACGGACUUUGUGCUUGGGAGUGUCAUCAGCCAGGGCAGUGGCCCCUGAUCUCCUGGAAACCUGCCCUCAGAUGAAGGAGCCAAGGGCCGGAGAUGAUAUCGUGUGGCUGAGAUCUCCAGGAGGGGGCAAGAACCGGGCCGUCAGAGUCCACAUCCGUUCUGCCAUCUGCACCAGCCCCAGGGUACCCCCGGAGGUGGGCUGUCUGGUCCAGAAGCCAGCGCUCCCCUGGCCCGAUACCCCAGCUGUCUCUGGCAGGCGCAGGACCACGGUAUUAGGGAUCGGUCUCGGCCCCAGCACCGUGGGGUGGCAGAGCAUGUGCGGAAGCCCGUGGCAGGAGAGAGGGGCCGUGUUCAAGGGGAGAGACUGGAAAUGGCCCAAGACCCGCAGACGUGGCCCGGAGGGGAGUUCGGCUCGAUUCCGUCAGAUUUGUAAAAAUAAUAAAUGAUACGUGCUAACCGAUUGCUGUUACUGAACCGGCCCCGGCUGCCGUUUACGGGCUGGCUUUGCUAGAGGCUCCGCCUCAACGUGGGUCUCUGUCUCCGAUCAAUCUGUCUCUGUCGUUCUUGAGAAGCCCGAGGCAGCGAUGCUGCCCGCCCCCCUCCCUCCCCAGCAGCACUCGCUAGGCCUUCCCCGGAUGGCUUCAGCUCCUUAGGAUGGGGGCCGGGUCGCUGAUGUCUUUUGUCCAGUUUAGAGCAGUGGGCUUGGAGCUUCGGGACCCGUGUGACCCAGUAGGUCGGAGCCUCGCCAUAAAGCAUGAUGGAUAGGUGAAUUUCCUUGAUGGAGGAUAUUCCACUCUGCCGGAUACGGGGUUCGCCAUCACCUGAGUCCGGGAUAUAUGCACAUCACUGCCUCUGCCUCGGACAUCCCCGAUAACCCCCGUGGAACCAGCAGACAUUAGGAAUCCAAUAGAUCUACGGGCGCCUGGGGGGCUCAGGAGGUGGAGCGUCCGACUUCGGCUCAGGUCAAGAACUCACCGUUUGUAGGUUCGAGCCCCGCGUCGGGCUCUGUGCCGACAGCUCGGAGCCGGGAGCCUGCUUCGGAUUCUGUGUCUCCCUCUCUCUCUGCCCCUCCCCACCUCUCCAAAAUAAAUAAACAUUAAAAACUUAAAAUAAAAAAAGGAAUCUAACAGAUCUAGAGUCAACACCUGGCUCUACCUUUUACUCAUUACCAUAACCUUGGACAGAUCACCUGACCCCUGGACCGAACUUCCUCGUCUAUAAAAUGGGGCAGCGAUGGUUAUCUCCGUGGGCCCUGGGGUGAGAAUUAGGAGGGAGUGUGCAGGAAGUGCAGGCACAGGACCUGAUAGGGGAGUUGUAGUAGUCGAAAUUUGGCGACCACCUGCCUGAGGGCUCUGCCAAGGGUCACCUCCUCCAGGAAGCCUGCUUGGCCUCCAUCUCACCGGCAAAGCUGCCCCCACCUCCCCUGUGGCUUUUGUCUCGUUUAGCACUGUCUACAAAGGUGCCCCUCCCCUUGCCUGCCUCACCACUCCAGUGAGCUGGCAUUGCCUGGGCCCUCAAACCUCUCCGACGGCAGGCAGCGUGCCUUUUUUUUUUUUUUUUUUUUUUUUGCUCC